UGGGGAAUAUUGGACAAUGGGCGAAAGCCUGAUCCAGCCAUGCCGCGUGUGUGAAGAAGGUCUUCGGAUUGUAAAGCACUUUAAGUUGGGAGGAAGGGCAGUAAGCGAAUACCUUGCUGUUUUGACGUUACCGACAGAAUAAGCACCGGCUAACUCUGUGCCAGCAGCCGCGGUAAUACAGAGGGUGCAAGCGUUAAUCGGAAUUACUGGGCGUAAAGCGCGCGUAGGUGGUUCGUUAAGUUGAAUGUGAAAGCCCCGGGCUCAACCUGGGAACUGCAUCCAAAACUGGCGGGCUAGAGUAGGGCAGAGGGUGGUGGAAUUUCCUGUGUAGCGGUGAAAUGCGUAGAUAUAGGAAGGAACACCAGUGGCGAAGGCGACCACCUGGGCUCAUACUGACACUGUGGUGCGAAAGCGUGGGGAGCAAACAGG
rnacentral:rRNA from 1 species